CCUUUCAAAGCCACUGACACACUGGCUGCACAAUGAUGAUGUCACUGAUUCUACUGCUGGUCACCCUGGGGCUCCUUGUUCAGGAUUCAUCAGGAGAAAUCAUCUUGACUCAGUCUCCUGGAUCUCAGUCUGUUGUUAAAGGACAGACUGUCUUUAUCAGAUGUAAAGCCAGUACACAAAUAGGUGAUGACAUUGACUGGUACCUUCAGAAACAUGGAGAAGCUCCUAAACUGCUGAUUGUGGAUACUACAGCCCGUCAGUCUGGAGUUUCAGAUCGUUUUAGUGCAACAGCGCAUCAGACUGACUUUACUUUGACCAUCAGUGGAGUUCAGACUGUAGAUGCAGGAGUUUAUUACUGUCAGCAGCAUAACAGCCGCCCGUUCACACAGUGAUACAACCUCGUACAAAAACCUCCUCAGCUGGAGAGGAACUGGUCUGACUCAACAGCUGCACAGAAACUAAACGACAACAACAUAUGACUAAUAUAUACUUUAUAGUUACAUGCAAUUCUAACAUAAUACACAGACAGAACUAACUUUUUUAAAACAUAUUUUAUUUGUAUUUACCA